rnacentral:lncRNA from 1 species
UGGGACCGCAGGGAGGAUGGCGCCUCCGGCUCCAGGCUAGCGUUCCGCGAGCGCACGCAUUUCACAUGCAUUUGAGAAAUAUCCAUUUAUGAUGGCGCAGAGGAUAAGGCAGCCCCCCAACUGUCUGGGUGCAAAGAUGGGGUCCCAGGCCUCUUCCAGUUGCGCUGGCUCCAAGUUGGGAGGACUCAUGCAACAGGAGACUGGACCACGUGAUGGAGAACUCCAUUCCCAGCCUAGGUGCUGGCAGGAGCCCCGUGUUCAGCUGGAUGAAUCUCCCUCCAGCACCAGGUAAAAUGUAGCAAGUCACUAAUUCCCGGUGCUGGGCCUCAGAGCAGGAAACGCUGGUGUUGUUUAAGUAGCAGAGAAGCAAGAGCACAGCACUCACUUCCUGGUUUUUCCUGUUUUUUCCACUGAGUAGCAGCCAGAGAAGCCGCGGGGCCCGGGAAUCCCAGCUUCCUGCCCC